GCGCCAGACUCCUACGGGAGGCAGCAGUGAGGAAUAUUGGUCAAUGGCCGGAAGGCUGAACCAGCCAAGUCGCGUGAGGGAAUAAGGCCCUAUGGGUCGUAAACCUCUUUUGCCGGGGAGCAAGGGCCGGGACGCGUCCCGGCCCGGAGAGUACCCGGAGAAAAAGCAUCGGCUAACUCCGUGCCAGCAGCCGCGGUAAUACGGAGGAUGCGAGCGUUAUCCGGAUUUAUUGGGUUUAAAGGGUGCGUAGGCGGGCUUUUAAGUCAGCGGUAAAAAUUCGGGGCUCAACCCCGUCCGGCCGUUGAAACUGGGGGCCUUGAGUGGGCGAGAAGAAGGCGGAAUGCGUGGUGUAGCGGUGAAAUGCAUAGAUAUCACGCAGAACCCCGAUUGCGAAGGCAGCCUUCCGGCGCCCUACUGACGCUGAGGCACGAAAGUGCGGGGAUCGAACAGGAUUAGAUACCCUCGUAC
rnacentral:rRNA from 1 species